UAAAUAAAUACUACUGCUGUGGGAGAAAUUAAAAAUAGAUCAAAAUACACGUGAGGAAUCGAACCACAUUUCAAUAUUGUGUCAAUGUCAGAUUCUGACAUUAAGAUCAUGUUGA